GUUUUCUUGUUGCCGAUUUAAAAGAAAAGACUUUGCAUCAUAUAAGCAAUAAACAUAAGUGCUGGACUAUUAACUCUACUCGCUACUGUCAGUUCCAUCUUCAUGAUUAACAUCUGAGUUGCAUUCAAAUUACCACAUUCGAAAGACCCGCCUUUGGUGAAGACAGAAUUUGUGGUGUUACACAAAUAGAGAGCUUAUAUCAGAGGAUAGACUACCUAAUUGGGAGCCUUUUCAGUGUUUGUGAUUCUGAAUAAUAGAUCCACCACUCUGCUGAUUCUAUAG